UGGGGAAUAUUGCACAAUGGGCGAAAGCCUGAUGCAGCAACGCCGCGUGAGUGAUGAAGGCCUUCGGGUUGUAAAGCUCUGUCUUCUGGGACGAUAAUGACGGUACCAGAGGAGGAAGCCACGGCUAACUACGUGCCAGCAGCCGCGGUAAUACGUAGGUGGCAAGCGUUGUCCGGAUUUACUGGGCGUAAAGGAUGCGUAGGCGGAUACUUAAGUCAGAUGUGAAAAUCCCGGGCUUAACUUGGGAACUGCAUUUGAAACUGGGUAUCUAGAGUGCGGGAGAGGAAAGUGGAAUUCCUAGUGUAGCGGUGAAAUGCGUAGAGAUUAGGAAGAACACCAGUGCCGAAGGCGACUUUCUGGACCGUAACUGACGCUGAGGCAUGAAAGCGUGGGGAGCAAACA
rnacentral:rRNA from 1 species